UACGUAGGUGGCAAGCGUUGUCCGGAAUUAUUGGGCGUAAAGCGCGCGCAGGUGGUUUCUUAAGUCUGAUGUGAAAGCCCACGGCUCAACCGUGGAGGGUCAUUGGAAACUGGGGAACUUGAGUGCAGGAGAGAAGAGUGGAAUUCCACGUGUAGCGGUGAAAUGCGUAGAGAUGUGGAGGAACACCGGUGGCGAAGGCGGGUCUCUGGGCCGAUACUGACGCUGAGGAGCGAAAGCGUGGGGAGCGAACAGG
rnacentral:rRNA from 1 species